rnacentral:rRNA from 1 species
UAAAGGAAUUGGCGGGGGAGCACCACAAGGGGUGAAGCCUGCGGUUCAAUUGGAGUCAACGCCAGAAAUCUUACCCGGAGAGACAGCAGAAUGAAGGUCAAGCUGAAGACUUUACCAGACAAGCUGAGAGGUGGUGCAUGGCCGUCGCCAGCUCGUGCCGUGAGAUGUCCUGUUAAGUCAGGUAACGAGCGAGAUCCUCGCCACUAGUUGCUAUCAUUAUUCUCAGGAAUAGUGGGGCGAAUUAGUGGGACUGCCGUUGUUAAAACGGAGGAAGGAGGGGGCUACGGCAGGUCAGUAUGCCCCGAAACUCUGGGGCCACACGCGGGCUGCAAUGGUAGCGACAAUGAGCUCCAAACUCGAAAGAGAGUGGCAAUCUCUAAACGCUACCACAGUUAUGACUGAGGGCUGUAACUCGCCCUCACGAAUAUGGAAUCCCUAGUAACCGCGUGUCAUUACCGCGCGGUGAAUACGUCCCUGCUCCUUGCACACACCGCCA